rnacentral:misc_RNA from 1 species
GAAAUGCGAUACGUAAUGUGAAUUGCAGAAUUCAGUGAAUCAUCGAAUCUUUGAACGCAUAUUGCGCUCUUUGGUAUUCCGAAGAGCAUGCUUGUUUGAGUAUCAGUAAACACCUCAAAGCUUUUGGAUUUUUUAAUCGAAAAGCUUUGGACUUGAGCAAUCCCAACACCAAUCUUUUUGAGAUCGGUGGCGGGUUGCUUGAAAUGCAGGUGCAGCUGGACAUUCUCCUGAGCUAAAAGCAUAUUCAUUUAGUCCCGUCAAACGGAUUAUUACUUUUGCUGCAGCUAACAUAAAGGGAGUUUGACCGUAUUGGCUGACUGAUACUCAAAUCAAGUAAGACUACCCGCUGAACUUAA